GACGUAGGAGGCGAGCGUUAUCCGGAUUCACUGGGCGUAAAGCGCAUGUAGGCGGAUGCACAAGUCCGAUGUUAAAGCCCCUGGCUCAACUGGGGGAGGUCAUUGGAGACUGUGCGUCUUGAGGGCAACAGAGGCACGUGGAACUCCCGGUGUAGCGGUGGAAUGCGUAGAGAUCGGGAAGAACACCCGUGGCGAAGGCGGCGUGCUGGGUUGCGACUGACGCUGAGAUGCGAAAGUGUGGGGAGCAAACGGG
rnacentral:rRNA from 1 species